AUCAGCUGCUGGGCUUGGGAACAGUAAUGUGGAGGUUCGAGAUGAUAUGGAAUUUGAUUCACACGAAGCAGCAUAUGAAUUCUACAAAGAAUAUGCAAAAUCAGAGGGGUUUGGCACUGCCAAAUUGAGCAGUCGUCGUUCUAGGGCAACUAAAGAGUUCAUUGAUGCAAAGUUUUCCUGCAUCAGAUAUGGUAACAAGCAGCAG
rnacentral:misc_RNA from 1 species